CAUCAUCCAUGACAACUUCUGUGUCAACUCCAGAAGUGAGUACAACCACAGCUUCUACUUUAGGAGCUACUGCAUCUCAGUUGACUAUACCUGAAUCUACAACUGUGGAAACAACAACCACCACAACGGAAUUUCCAACAUCAGCGGAAUCCAUUUAUACAACAACAAUUUCUCCUUCAAGCACUACCCAAACAACACAACUCACAACAACAGAGACUGUGCAACCUACAACUGAGAAGCAAACAACCCAGCUUGCUUCUACAACAUCUACAACACCUGACACAACAACAUUAUCCAUAACAACUUUUGUGUCAACUCCAGAACAGAGUACAACCACAGCUUCGACUUUAGGAGCUACUACAUCUCACUUGACAACAACUGAAUCUACAACCAUGGAAUCAAGAACAACAACAGAAGCUUCGACUUCAACGGAAUCCAUUUCUAAAACAACAAUUUCUCCUUCAACCACCUCCUCCCUAACAACACAACUCACAUCAACAGAAAUUGUACAACCUACAACUGAGAAGCAAACAACCCAGCUUGCUUCUACUACAUCUACAACAACUGACACAACAACAUCACCCAUAACAACUUUUGUGUCAACCCCAGAACAGAGUACAACCACAGCUUCUACUUUAGGAGCUACCACAUCUUACUUGACAACAACUGAAUCUACAACCGUGGAAACAACAAUAGAAGCUUCAACAAAAACAGAAUCAAUUUCUACCGUAACUAUUUCUCCUUCAACCACCUCCCAAACAACACAACUCACAACAACAGAAAUUGUGCAACCUACAACUGAAAAGCAAACAACCCAGUUUGCUUCUACUACAUCUAUAACACCUGACACAACAACAUCACCCAUAACAACUUUUGUGUCAAUCCCAGAACAGAGUACAUCCACAGCUUCUACUUUAGGAGCUACUACAUCUCACUUGACCUCACCUGCAUCUACAACUUUGGAAACAACAACAACCACAACUGAAGCUUUAACAUCAGCGGAAUCCAUUUCUACAACAACAAUUUUUCCUUCAACCUCCUCCCAAACAACACAACUCACAACAACAGAAAUUGUACAACCUACAACUGAGAAGCAAACAACCCAGCUUGCUUCUACUACAUCUACAACACCUGAUACAACAACAUCAUCCAUGACAACUUUUGUGUCAACUCCAGAAGUGAGUACAACCACAGCUUCAACUUUAGGACCAACUGCAUCUCACUUGACUUCACCUGAAUCUACAACUGUGGAAACUACAACCACCACAACGGAAUUUCCAACAUCAGCGGAAUCCAUUUCUACAACAACAAUUUCUCCUUCAACCACCUCCCUAACAACACAACUCACAACAACAGAAAUUGUACAACCUACAACCGAGAAGCAAACAACCCAGCUUGCUUCUACUACAUCUACAACACCUGACACAACAACAUCAUCCAUAACAACUUUUGUGUCAACUCCAGAAGUGAGUACAACCACAGCUUCUACUUUAGGAGCUACUACAUCUCACUUGACUUCACCUGAAUCUACAACUGUGGAAACAACAACAACCACAACUGAAGCUUUAUCAUCAGCGGAAUCCAUUUCUACAACAACAAUUUCUCCUUCAACCACCUCCCAAACAACACAACUCACAACAACAGAAAUUGUACAACCUACAUCUGAGAAGCAAACAACCCAGCUUGCUUCUACUACAUCUACAACACCUGAAGCAACAACAUCGUCCAAGACAACUUUUGUGUCAACUCCAGAAGUGAGUACAACCACAGCUUCUACUUUAGGAGCUACUACAUCUCACUUGACACCAACUGAAUCUACAACCGUGGAAACAACAACAACAACAACAGAGGCUUCAACAAAAACAGAAUCAAUCUCUACAACAACUAUUUCUCCUUCAACCACCUCCCAAACAACACAACUCACAACAAAAGAAAUUGUGCAACCUACAACUGAAAAGCAAACAACCCAGUUUGCUUCUACAACAUCUACAACACCUGAAACAACAACAUUAUCCAAGACAACUUUUGUGUCAACUCCAGAAGUGAGUACAACCACAGCUUCUACUUUAGGAGCUACUACAUCUCACUUGACUACACCUGAAUAUACAACUGUGGAAACAAAAACAACCACAACUGAAACUUUAACAUCAGCGGAAUCCAUUUCUACAACAACAAUUUCUCCUUCAACCUCCUCCCAAACAACACAACUCACAACAACAGAAAUUGUACAACCUACAACUGAGAAGCAGACAACCCAGCUUGCUUCUACUACAUCUACAACACCUGAGACAACAACAUCAUCCAUGACAACUUUUGUGUCAACUCCAGAAGUGAGUACAACCACAGCUUCUACUUUAGGACCAACUGUAUCUCACUUGACUAUCCCUGUAUCUACAACCUUGGAAACAACAACCACCACAACGGAAUUUCCAACAUCAGCGGAAUUCAUUUCUACAACAACAAUUUCUCCUUCAACCACCUCCCUAACAACACAACUCACAACAACAGAAAUUGUACAACCUACAACCGAGAAGCAAACAACCCAGCUUGCUUCUACUACAUCUACAACACCUGACACAACAACAUCAUCCAUAACAACUUUUGUGUCAACUCCAGAAGUGAGUACAACCACAGCUUCUACUUUAGGAGCUACUACAUCUCACUUGACUUCACCUGAAUCUACAACUGUGGAAACAACAACAACCACAACUGAAGCUUUAUCAUCAGCGGAAUCCAUUUCUACAACAACAAUUUCUCCUUCAACCACCUCCCAAACAACACAACUCACAACAACAGAAUUUGUACAACCUACAUCUGAGAAGCAAACAACCCAGCUUGCUUCUACUACAUCUACAACACCUGAAGCAACAACAUCGUCCAAGACAACUUUUGUGUCAACUCCAGAAGUUAGUACAACCACAGUUUCUACUUUAGGAGCUACUACAUCUCACUUGACUACACCUGAAUAUACAACUGUGGAAACAACAACAACCACAACUGAAGCUUUAACAUCAGUGGAAUCCAUUUCUACAACAACAAUUUCUCCUUCAACCACCUCCUCCCAAACAACACAACUCACAACAACAGAAAUUGUACAACCUACAACUGAGAAGAAAUCAACCCAGCUUGCUUCUACUACAUCUACAACAACUGACACAACAACAUCACCCAUAACAACUUUUGUGUCAACUCCAGAAGUGAGUACAACUACAGCUUCUACUUUAGGAGCUAUUACAUCUCACUUGACACCAACUGAAUCUACAACCGUGGAAACAACAACAACAACAGAGGCUUCAACAAAAACAGAAUCAAUCUCUACAACAACUAUUUCUCCUUCAACCACCUCCCAAACAACACAACUCACAACAGAAGAAAUUGUGCAACCUACAACUGAGAAGCAAAGUACCCAGCUUGCUUCUACUACAUCUACAGCACCUGAAACAACAUCAUCCAUGACAACUUUUGUGUCAACUCCAGAAGUGACUACAACCACAGCUUCUACUUUAGGAGCUACUACAUCUCACUUGACUACACCUGAAUAUACAACUGUGGAAACAACAAUAACCACAAUUGAAGCUUUAACAUCAGCAGAAUCCAUUUCUACAACAACAAUUUCUUUUUCAACCACCACCCAAACAACACAACUCACAACAACAGAAAUUGUACAACCUACAACUGAGAAGCAGACAACCCAGCUUGCUUCUACUACAUCUACAACAACUGACACAACAACAUCAUCCAUGACAACUUUUGUGUCAACUCCAGAAGUGAGUACAACCACAGCUUCUACUUUAGGAGCUACUGCAUCUCACUUGACUAUACCUGAAUCUACAACCGUGGAAACAACAACCACCACAACGGAAUUUCCAACAUCAGUGGAAUCUAUUUCUACAACAACAAUUUCUCCUUCAACCACCUCCCUAACAACACAACUCACAACAACAGAAAUUGUACAACCUACAACUGAGAAGCAAACAACCCAGCUUGCUUCUACUACAUCUACAACACCUGACACAAAAACAUCAUCCAUAACAACUUUUCUUUCUACACCAGAAGUGAGUACAACCACAGUUUCUACUUUAGUAGCUACUACAUCUCAGCUGAUUGCAGCUGUCUCUACAACCAUGGAAUUCCAAAUCACAACAGAAGCUUCAACAUCAACGGAAUCCAUUUCUACAACAACAAUUUCUCCUUCAACCACCUCCCAAACAACACAACUCACAACAACAGAAAUUGUACAACCUACAACUGAGAAGCAGACAACCCAGCUUGCUUCUAGUACAUCUACAACACCUGAGACAAAAACAUCAUCCAUAACAACUUUUGUGUCAACCCCAGAAAAGAGUUCAACAACAGAUUCUACUUUAGAAGCUAUUACAUCUCACUUGACAACAACUGAAUCUACAACCAUCGAAUCAACAACAACAGAGGCUUCAACUACAACAGAAUCCAUUUCUACAACAACAAUUUCUCCUUCAUCCACCAACCAAACAACACAACUCACAACAACAGAAAUUGUGCAACCUACAACUGAGAAGCAAACAACCCAGCUUGCUUCUAUAUCAUCUACAACACCUAAGACAACAACAUCAUUCAUAACAACUUUUGUGUCAACUCCAGAAAAGAGUACAACCACAGCUUCUACUUUAGGAGCUACUACAUCUCACUUGACUACACCUGAAUCUACAACCAUGGAAACAACAACCACCACAACGGAAGCUUCAACAACAACAGAAUCAACUUCUACAACAACAAUUUCUCCUUCAACCACCUCCCAAAACACACAACUCACAACAACAGAUAUUGAGCUACCUACAACUGAAAAGAAAACAACCCAGCUUGCUUCUACUACAUCUACAUUACCUGAGACAACAACAUCAUCCAAGUCAACUUUAGUGUCAACUCCAGAAGUGAGUACAACCACAGCUUCUACUUUAGGAGCUACUACAUCUUACUUGACAAAAACUGAAUCUACAACCAUGGAAUCAACAACAACAACAGAGGCUUCGACUACAAUGGAAUCCAUUUCUAUAACAACAUAUUCACCUUCAACCACCUUCCAAACAACACAACUCACAACAACAGAAAUUGUGCAACCUACCACUGAGAAGCAAACAACCCAGCUUGCUACUACUACAGCUACAACACUUGAGACAACAACAUCAUAUGUAACAAAUUUUGUGUCUACACCAGAAGUGAGUACAACCACAGCUUCUACCUUAGAAGCAACUACAUCUCAGCUGAGUGCAGCUGUAUCUACAAACGUGGAGUUAACAACAACAACAGAAGCUUCAACUACAACAGAAUCCAUUUCUAUAACAACAUAUUCACCUUCAACCACCUUCCAAACAACAGAUCUCACAACAACAGAAAUUGUGCAUCCUACAACUGAGAAGCAAUCAACACAGCUUGCUUCUACUACAUCUACAACACCUAAGACUACAGCAUCAUCUAUUACAUCUUUUGUGUCUACACCAGAAUUGAGUACAACCACGGCAUCUACCUUAGAAACUACUGCAUCUCAGCUGAUUGCAGCUGUAUCUACCACCGUGGAAUUCCUAAUCACAACAGAAGCUUCAACAUCAUUGGAAUCCAUUUCUACAACAACAUAUUCUCCUUCAACCACCUCCCAAAAAACAGAUCUCACAACAACAGAUAUUGUGCAACCUACAACUGAGAAGCAGACAACCCAGCUUGCUUCUACUACAGCUACAACACCUGACACAACAAUAUCAUCCAUAACAACUUUUCUUUCUACACCAGAAGUGAGUUCAACCACAGCUUCUACUUUAGUAGCUACUACAUCUCAGCUGAUUGCAGCUGUAUCUACAACCAUGGAAUUCCAAAUCACAACAGAAGCUUCAACACCAACGGAAUCCAUUUCUACAACAACAAUUUCUCCUUCAACCACCUUCCAAACAACCGAUCUCACAACAACAGAAAUUGUCCAACCUACAACUGAGAAGCAAACAACCCAGCUUGCUACUACUACAGCUACAACACUUGAGACAACAACAUCAUAUGUAACAAAUGUUGUGUCUACACCAGAAUUGAGUACAACCACGGCAUCUACCUUAGAAACAACUACAUCUCAGCUGAGUGCAGCUGUAUCUACAAACGUGGAAUUCCCAAUCACAACAGAAGCUUCAACAUCAACGGAAUCCAUUUCUACAACAACAUAUCCUCCUUUAACCACCUCCCAAACAACAGAUCUGACAACAACAGAUAUUGUGCAACCUAUAACUGAGAAGCAGACAACCCAGCUUGCUUCUACUACAUCUGCAACACCUGACACAACAAUAUCAUCCAUAACAGCAUUUCUGUCUACACCAGAAGUGAGUACAACCACAGCUUCUACCUUAGAAACAACUACAUCUCAGCUGAGUGCAGCUGUAUCUACAAACGUGGAGUUAACAACAACCACAACAACAACAGAGGCUUCAACUACAACAGAAUCCAUUUCUACAACAACAAUAUUUCCUUCAACCACCUCCCAAACAACACAACUCACAACAACAGAAAUUGUGCAACCUACAACUGAGAAGCAAUCAACACAGCUUGCUUCUACUACAUCUACAACACCUGAGACUACAGCAUCAUCUAUUACAUCUUUUGUGUCUACACCAGAAUUGAGUACAACCAUGGCAUCUACCUUAGAAACUACUGCAUCUCAGCUGAUUGCAGCUGUAUCUACCACCGUGGAAUUCCCAAUCACAACAGAAGCUUCAACAUCAACGGAAUCCAUUUCUACAACAACAUUUUCUCCUUCAACCACCUCCCAAACAACAGAUCUCACAACAACAGAUAUUGUGCAACCUACAACUGAGAAGCAAACAACCCAGCUUGCUUCUACUACAGCUACAACACCUGACACAACAAUAUCAUCCAUAACAUCUUUUCUGUCUACACCAGAAGUGAGUACAACCACAGCUUCUACUUUAGUAGCUACUACAUCUCAGCUGAUUGCAGCUGUACCUACAACCAUGGACUUCCCAAUUACAACAGAAGCUUCAACAUCAACGGAAUCCAUUUCUACAACAACAUAUUCUCCUUCAACCACCUACCACACAACAGAUCUCACAACAACAGAUAUUGUGCAACCUACAACUGAGAAGCAAACAACCCAGCUUGCUUCUAAUACAGCUACAACACCUGACACAACAAUAUCAUCCAUAACAACUUUUCUGUCUACACCAGAAGUGAGUACAACCACAGCUUCUACUUUAGUAGCUACUACAUCUCAGCUGAUUGCAGCUGUAUCUACAACCAUGGAAUUCCCAAUUACAACAGAAGCUUCAACAUCAACGGAAUCCAUUUCUACAACAACAAUUUCUCCUUCAACCACCUUCCAAACAACCGAUCUCACAACAACAGAAAUUGUCCAACCUACAACUGAGAAGCAAACAACCCAGCUUGCUACUACUACAGCUACAACACUUGAGACAACAACAUCAUCUAUUACAUCUUUUGUGUCUACACCAGAAUUGAGUACAAGCACGGCAUUUACCUUAGAAACAACUACAUCUCAGCUGAGUGCAGCUGUAUCUACAAACGUGGAAUUCCCAAUCACAACAGAAGCUUCAACAUCAACGGAAUCCAUUACUACAACAACAUAUUCUCCUUCAACCACCUCCCAAACAACAGAUCUCACAACAACAGAUAUUGUGCAACCUGAGAAGCAGACAACCCAGCUUGCUUCUACUACAGCUACAACACCUGACACAACAAUAUCACCCAUAACAACCUUUCUGUCUACACCAGAAGUGAGUACAACAACAGCUUCUACUUUAGGAGCUACUACAUCUCUCUUGACUGCAUUUCUAUCUACAACCGUCGAAUUACCAACCACAACGGAGGCUUCAACAUUAACGGAAUCUAUUUCUACAACAACAAUUUCUCCUUCAACCACCUCCCAAACAGCACAACUGACAACAACAGAAAUUGUGCAACCUACAACUGAGAAACAAACAACCCAGCUUGCUUCUACUACAUCUGCAACACCUGACACAACAAUAUCAUCCAUAACAGCUUUUCUGUCUACACCAGAAGUGAGUUCAACCACAGCUUCUACUUUAGGAGCUACUACAUCUCAGCUGAGUGCAGCUGUAUCUACAAACGUGGAGUUAACAACAACAACAACAACAACAGAGGCUUCAACUACAACAGAAUCCAUUUCUACAACAACAAUAUUUCCUUCAACCACCUUCCAAACAACACAACUCACAACAACAGAAAUUGUGCAACCUACAACUGAGAAGCAAUCAACACAGCUUGCUUCUACUACAUCUACAACACCUGAGACUACAGCAUCAUCUAUUACAUCUUUUGUGUCUACACCAGAAUUGAGUACAACCACGGCAUCUACCUUAGAAACUACUGCAUCUCAGCUGAUUGCAGCUGUAUCUACCACCAUGGAAUUCCCAAUCACAACAGAAGCUUCAACAUCAACGGAAUCCAUUUCUACAACAACAUAUCCUCCUUCAACCACCUCCCAAACAACAGAUCUCACAACAACAGAAAUUGUGCAACCUACAACUGAGAAGCAGACAACCCAGCUUGCUUCUACUACAGCUACAACACCUGACACAACAAUAUCAUCCAUAACAACUUUUCUUUCUACACCAGAAGUGAGUACAACCACAGCUUCUACUUUAGUAGCUACUACAUCUCAGCUGAUUGCAGCUGUAUCUACAACCAUGGAAUUCCAAAUCACAACAGAAGCUUCAACAUCAACGGAAUCCAUUUCUACAACAACAAUUUCUCCUUCAACCACCUUCCAAACAACCGAUCUCACAACAACAGAAAUUGUCCAACCUACAACUGAGAAGCAAACAACCCAGCUUGCUACUACUACAGCUACAACACUUGAGACAACAACAUCAUAUGUAACAAAUGUUGUAACUACACCAGAAUUGAGUACAACCACGGCAUCUACCUUAGAAACAACUACAUCUCAGCUGAGUGCAGCUGUAUCUACAAACGUGGAAUUCCCAAUCACAACAGAAGCUUCAACAUCAACGGAAUCCAUUUCUACAACAACAUAUCCUCCUUCAACCACCUCCCAAACAACAGAUCUCACAACAACAGAUAUUGUGCAACCUACAACUGAGAAGCAGACAACUCAGCUUGCUUCUACUACAGCUACAACACCUGACACAACAAUAUCACCCAUAACAACUUUUCUGUCUACACCAGAAGUGAGUACAACAACAGCUUCUACUUUAGGAGCUACUACAUCUCUCUUGACUGCAGCUGUAUCUACAACCGUCGAAUUACCAACCACAACGGAAGCUUCAACAUUAACGGAAUCUAUUUCUACAACAACAAUUUCUCCUUCAACCACCUCCGAAACAGCACAACUGACAACAACAGAAAUUGUGCAACCUACAACUGAGAAACAAACAACCCAGCUUGCUUCUACUACAUCUGCAACACCUGACACAACAAUAUCAUCCAUAACAGCUUUUCUGUCUACACCAGAAGUGAGUACAACCACAGCUUCUACCUUAGAAACAACUACAUCUCAGCUGAGUGCAGCUGUAUCUACAAACGUGGAGUUAACAACAACAACAACAACAACAGAGGCUUCAACUACAACAGAAUCCAUUUCUACAACAACAAUAUUUCCUUCAACCACCUCCCAAACAACACAACUCACAACAACAGAAAUUGUGCAACCUACAACUGAGAAGCAAUCAACACAGCUUGCUUCUACUCUAUCUACAACACCUGACACAACAAUAUCAUCCAUAACAACUUUUCUGUCUACACCAGAAGUGAGUACAACCACAGCUUCUACCUUAGAAACAACUACAUCUCAGCUGAGUGCAGCUGUAUCUACAAACGUGGAGUUAACAACAACAGAGCCUUCAACUACAACAGAAUCCAUUUCUACAACAACAAUAUUUCCUUCAACCACCUCCCAAACAACACAACUCACAACAACAGAAAUUUUGCAACCUACAACUGAGAAGCAAUCAACACAGCUUGCUUCUACUACAUCUACAACACCUGAGACAACAGCAUCAUCUAUUACAACUUUUGUGUCUACACCAGAAUUGAGCACAACCAUGGCAUUUACCUUAGAAACUACUGCAUCUCAGCUGAUUGCAGCUGUAUCUACCACCGUGGAAUUCCCAAUCACAACGGAAGCUUCAACAUCAACGGAAUCUAUUUCUACAACAACAUAUUUUCCUUCAACCACCUCCCAAACAACAGAUCUCACAACAACAGAUAUUGUGCAACCUACAACUGAGAAGCAAACAACCCAGCUUGCUUCUACUACAUCUACAACACCUGACACAACAAUAUCAUCCAUAACAACUUUUCUGUCUACACCAGAAGUGAGUACAACCACAGCUUCUACUUUAGGAGCUACUACAUCUCAGCUGAUUGCAGCUGUAUCUACAACCAUGGAAUUCCCAAUUACAACAGAAGCUUCAACAUCAACAGAAUCCAUUUCUACAACAACAAUUUCUCCUUCAACCACCACACAAACAACACAACUCACAACAACAGAAAUUGUGCAACCUACAACUGAGAAACAAACAACCCAGCUUGCUUCUACUACAUCUGCAACACCUGACACAACAAUAUCAUCCGUAACAGCUUUUCUGUCUACACCAGAAGUGAGUACAACCACAGCUUCUACCUUAGAAACAACUACAUCUCAGCUGAUUGCAACUGUAUCUACAAACGUGGAGUUAACAACAACAGCAGAAGCUUCAACUACAACAGAAUCCAUUUCUACAACAACAAUAUCUCCUUCAACCACCUCCCAAUCAACACAACUCACAACAACAGAAAUUGUGCAACCUACAACUGAGAAUCAAACAACCCAGCUUGCUUCUACUGCAUCUACAACACCUGAGAUAAAAACAUUAUCCCUGACAACUUUUGUGUCAACUCCAGAAGUGAGUACAACCACAGCUUCUACUUUAGGAGCUACUACAUCUCACUUGACUUCACCUGAAUCUACAACUGUGGAAACAACAACAACCACAACUGAAGCUUUAACAUCAGCGGAAUCCAUUGUUACAACAACAAUUUCUCCUUCAACCUCCUCCCAAACAACACAACUCACAACAACAGAAAUUGUACAACCUACAACUGAGAAUCAAACAACCCAGCUUGCUUCUACUGCAUCUACAACACCUGAGAUAAAAACAUUAUCCCUGACAACUUUUGUGUCAACUCCAGAAGUGAGUAAAACCACAGCUUCUACCUUAGAAACUACAACAUCUCACAUGAUUGUAGCUGUAUCUACAACCGUGGAACUAACAACAACAACAGAAGCUUCAACUACAACAGAAUCCAUUUCUACAACAACAAUAUCUCCUUCAACCACCUUCCAAACAACACAACUCACAACAACAGAUAUUGUGCAACCUACAACUGCUUUUACUACAUCUACAACACCUGAGAAAACAACAUCAUCCAUUACAUCUUUUGUGUCUUUACCAGUAAUGACUACAACCACGGCUUUUACCUUAGAAACUACUACAUCGCAGUUGACUACAUCUGGAUCUACAACUGUGGAAUCAAGCACAACAGCUGAAAUAUUUGCUGCAACAGAAUCAAUUGAUACUUCAACAGAAACAGUGGAAUCAACCACAACAACGGAAGCUUCAAAUACAUCAGAAUCAGUUUCAAUGACAACAAUAUCUCCUUCAACAUUUUCACAAAUGACAGCACAAAUCAUAAGAACAGAAAGUGUAGAACCUACAACUGAGAGGCAAACAACCCAGCUUGCUUCUACUACAUCUACAACACCUGAGAUAACAACAUUACCCCUGACAACUUUUGUGUCUUCACCGGAAUUGAGUACCACCCCAGCUUUUACGUUAAGCACUACUACAACUCAGGUGACUACAGGUGAAACUACAACUGCCAAAUCAACGAUAAUAAAAGGAGUAUUGGCUUUAACAGAAUCAGUUUCUGCAACAACAGUUUCUCCUACAACAAAUUCCCAAAGAACAACAAAACUCACAACAACAGAAUCUAUGAAUUUUACAACUGAAAGUCAAACGACCCAGCUUGCUUCUACUACACCUUCAACAUCGGAGAUAACCACAUCAAUCGUGACAAAUUAUAUAUCUACGCCAGAAUUGAGUACUACAACAGCUUUUACCUUAGGCACUACUACAUCACAGUUGAAUACAGUUGAAUCUACAACUGUGGAAUCAGCCACAACAAAAAUUUUGGCCACAACAGAAACAAUUCCUAUGUUAUCAACAACAGCUUCUCCUUUAACCACUUCCCAAAUGGCAACACAACACACAACAACAGAAACUGUGGAACCUACAGCUGAAAGUCAAUCCACCCAACUUGUUUUUAUAAGAUCUACAACACCUGAUACAACAACAACACCAACUGCAACAACUGAAGCUUCAGCUACAACCGACAUUUUAACAACCACUGCUCGAUCCCCUUUCCAAAAAACAGGGCCACUUACGGCAAACGAAACUGUGGAACCAAUAACUGACAAUCAAUCCAGUAAACUACCAUUUACUACAGCUACAACAGUUGGUAUUACACCCACACCAAUUGUUGAACUGAGUUACACCACAGCAUCUCCCUUAGAUCAUAUAACACUUCAAUUCACAACAAGUACAGCAGAAACAGUGGAAUCAACCACAACAACUGAAGCUUCAACAUUAACAGAAGCAAUAACUACAAUCACUGCUUUUUCAUCUACAUCCCAAACAACAGGUGAACUCACACCAAACAAAUCAGAGGAACCUACAACUAAAAGUCAAUCCACUCAACUUCUUUUUACUAAAUCUACAACACUUGAUGUUACAUCAUUACCAAGUGUUGUAUCUAAAGCAGAACUGAGUAACACCACAGCAUCUUUCUUAGACACUACAGCAGAAUCUACAACACCUGAAUUAACCACUACAUCUAAAGCUUCAGCUACAACAGAAGCAAUAACUGCAACCACUGCUUUUUCAUUCGCAUCUCAAACAACAGGUCGACUCAUACCAACAGAAACUGUGGAACCUACAAUUGAAAGUCAAUUCACAAUGCUUCCUUCUACCACACGUACAAAAACUGAUGUUACAAUUACACCAAGUGUUGUGGCUACAGCAGAACUCAGUAACACAACAGGUCAACUUACACCAAGUGAAUCUGUGGAACCAACAACUAAAAUUCAGUCCACUCAAGAUCCAUUAACUAAAUCUGCAACACUUGAUAUUACAACCACACCAAUUGAUGUAUCUACAGCGGAAUUGAAGAAGACCACAUCACCUACCUUAGACACUAUAACCCCUCAAUUGACAAGUACAGAAGAAUCUACAACCAUGGAAUCAAACAGCACAAAAGAAGCUUCAGCUACAACAGAAGCAGUAAAUACAAGCACUGCUUUUUUAUCCAUAUUUCAAACAACAGGUCAACCCACACCAUCAGAAACUGUGGAACCUACAACUGAGUGUCAAUCCAGACAAAUUCCUUUUACCACAUUUAGAACACCUGAUAAAACAACCACAUCAACUGUCACAACUGAAGCAUCAUCUACAAAAUUAGGUAUAACUACAACCACUGCUCCUUCAUUCACUUCCCAAAAAACAAGUCAACUCACACCAACAGAAACUGAGGAAUAUACAACAGAAAGUCUAACAACCCAACUUCCUUCUACUACAUCUUCGAAACCUGAUAUAACAACCACAAAAACUGUUGUGUCUACACCAGAAUUGAGUAAGACCAUAGCUUCUACCCUAGGGGCAAUUACAUCCCAGUUGACUACAUCCAAUUUUACAAAAGUGGAAACAACAUCCAUCAUAAAGGAAAGUACUGUCUCUUCAACCACCUCCAAAACAACACAACAGCUCUCUACAAAAACUCCGGAACCGACAAAUGAAAGUCAAUUAAGCCAAUUUCCUUUAUCUACAUUUGAUAUAACACCUGAUAGAACAACACCACCUUCUGGAUCUAUAACAGAACUGAGUAGCACCAAUGCUUUUACCUUUGACAGUACAACACCUCAGUUGACUACACCGACAAAAGAAAAAAUGACUGCUACUUCUGGAACUUUACUGAGUUCUGCAACAACCUCAACAACUGCGCAUACAGAUAUAAAAAUGAUAGCAUAUGUGUACUGCCACCUGGUCUUCAACUCUUCCACACCCAUCGCCAGUGACACCGCAGCAGUUAAUACUACACGCACACUUCUGUUGUCUUUAUCUGCAAGCUUCAAUCAAACAAUUCAGAUGGAAAAUGUGACAUACGAAGAAAUAUCAGGCACUUCAUAUGCAGUUAUCAUCAGCUUAAGGCUAAACAAUGUCAGCAUGCCAGAGAAAAGUGAAUCUGCAAACGACACAUAUAGCCGAAUUCAGAAUACUAUUAAUAACAUGGUAAGUACAGUUUUAAUGCAUGGUACGUAUUUGAAAAAUUCCUGCUGA
rnacentral:lncRNA from 1 species